AUUGAACGAUGGCGGCAGGCUUAACACAUGCAAGUCGACCUAUUGGCGGACGGGUGAUUACUGCUUGGUAAUCUCUCUUAUUGAGGGGGAUAACUACGGGAAACUGUAGCUAAUACCGCGUACCAUAGGAUGAUGCCCAGUGGGCUUAGGUAGUUGGUGAGGUAAAGGCUCACCAAGCCGACGAUCUCUAGCUGGUCUGCGAGGAUGACCAGCCACACUGGGACUGAGACACGGCCCAGACUCCUACGGGAGGCAGCAGUGGGGAAUAUUGCACAAUGGGCGCAAGCCUGAUGCAGCCAGGCCGCGUGGAUGAAGAAGGCCCUAGGGUUGUAAAGUACUUUCAGUCGGGAGGCGUUACCGACAGAAGAAGCACCGGCUAACUCCGUGCCAGCAGCCGCGGUAAUAC
rnacentral:rRNA from 1 species